rnacentral:miRNA from 10 species
CCUUGUUCAGUUGGGUUGUUGC